CAGCGCCACGAGUGGCAAUCGUGUAUUUGGCCUAAAGCGUCCGUAGCCGGAUUUGUAAAUCUUUUGUGAAAUCGUUGAGCUCAACUUAACGGCGUGCAGAAGACACUGCGAGUCUUGAGACCGGGAGGAGAUAGAGGUAUUCUAGGGGGAGCGGUAAAAUGCUUUAAUCCCUGGAGGACCACCAGUGGCGAAGGCGUCUAUCCAGAACGGAUCUGACGGUGAGGGACGAAAGCCAGGGGAGCGAACCGGAUUAGAUACCCGAGUAGUCC
rnacentral:rRNA from 1 species